rnacentral:rRNA from 1 species
GACGAACGCUGGCGGCGUGCUUAACACAUGCAAGUCGAACGGAAAGGCCCUGCUUGCAGGGUACUCGAGUGGCGAACGGGUGAGUAACACGUGGGUGAUCUGCCCUGCACUUCGGGAUAAGCCUGGGAAACUGGGUCUAAUACCGGAUAGGAGCCAUUUUUAGUGUGAUGGUUGGAAAGUUUUUUCGGUGUAGGAUGAGCUCGCGGCCUAUCAGCUUGUUGGUGGGGUAAUGGCCUACCAAGGCGGCGACGGGUAGCCGGCCUGAGAGGGUGGACGGCCACAUUGGGACUUAGAUACGGCCCAGACUCCUACGGGAGGCAGCAGUGGGGAAUAUUGCACAAUGGGCGCAAGCCUGAUGCAGCGACGCCGCGUGGGGGAUGACGGACUUCGGGUUGUAAACUCCUUUCGCUAGGGACGAAGCUUUUUGUGACGGUACCUAGAUAAGAAGCACCGGCUAACUACGUG